CCUACGGGUGGCAGCAGUAGGGAAUAUUGGUCAAUGGGCGCUACCCUGAACCAGCCACGCAGCGUGAAGGAUGAAGGUUUUAGGGUUUUUAACUCCUUUUUUUAGAGAAGUUAAUGACGGUAUCUAACCUAUAAUCCCCGGCGAACUCCGUUCCAGCAGCCGCGGGAAUACGGAGGGUGCAAGCGUUAAUCGGAAUCACUGGGCGUAAAGGGCGCUUAGGCGGGAUAACAAGUCAGAUGUGAAAUGCUAUGGCUUAACCAUAGAAAUGCAGUUGAAACUGUUAUUCUAGAGUAUGGGAGAGGUAGGUGGAAUUCUUGGUGUAGGGGUAAAAUCCGUAGAGAUCAAGAGGAAUACUCAUUGCGAAGGCGACCUGCUAGAACAUAACUGACGCUGAUGCGCGAAAGCGUGGGGAGCAAACAGGAUUAGAUACCCGGGUAGUC
rnacentral:rRNA from 1 species